UACGGGGGGAGCAAGCGUUGUUCGGAUUUACUGGGCGUAAAGGGCGCGUAGGCGGCCACCGCAAGUCGGUUGUGAAAUCUCUGGGCUUAACCCAGAAAGGUCAACCGAUACUGCGGGCUAGAGUGCAGGAAGGGGCAACUGGAAUUCUCGGUGUAGCGGUGAAAUGCGUAGAUAUCGAGAGGAACACCGGUGGCGAAGGCGGCAUUCUGGACCACAACUGACACUGAGAGACGAAAGCCAGGGAGCAAACGGGA
rnacentral:rRNA from 1 species